rnacentral:rRNA from 1 species
UACGAAGGGGGCUAGCGUUGCUCGGAAUCACUGGGCGUAAAGCGCACGUAGGCGGCUUACUAAGUCAGGGGUGAAAUCCUGGAGCUCAACUCCAGAACUGCCUUUGAUACUGGUGAGCUUGAGUCCGGAAGAGGUGAGUGGAACUGCGAGUGUAGAGGUGAAAUUCGUAGAUAUUCGCAAGAACACCAGUGGCGAAGGCGGCUCACUGGUCCGGUACUGACGCUGAGGUGCGAAAGCUAGGGGAGCAAACAGG